UGGUGCUUGAUUCCCCUGACGCGUUC
rnacentral:piRNA from 1 species